AUGCUGGCUUUGCUCUCUCGCCUUUCCAGCUACGACCAGGGAGUGGGCUGGGUCUCCUCCCCGGGCCCUCCCAAAGGGAAGGACCUCUCAGGUUCCAAGAAGAUGGGUGCAGCGGAGCUGGACGGGUGUCUCUGGCCUUGCUCUCCUCGGAGGGAUGGUUCCCCAGGAAGUUCGUGCUCCCCCCCCUCAAGCCCCAGCUUUGGACGGUCUCAACAGCAGAGCUUUCUUAAGAAAAUGCUUGUCAUGGCAACAGCUCCAGCCAACUCGGGCCAGAGUCUUGCUCACCAGCUCUCCCGGAGCAGUGAGGGAGGAGAAGGGGGAGGAGCGAGAGCUGGAACGGAGGUGGGGCUUGGCUGGAGGCCAGACCAUGACUCUACUGUUAAGGUGGCCCGAUUUCGAGCUGCAGCUGCUUCCUGGUUUGUCUUAAGGCGGAAUGGAGAAAUGGAGGGGAAGAAUCCUCUCUUCUCUCUGGUUUCCUCCCCGCCCUUGCUGUCACUUGUGGGAAGGAAGCAGCUCACUGGAAGCCUCGAAAUUUAGAGCAUUGCCUCCCACCCCCCAAGCGGGCCUGAGCUGGGAAGGUGCCGGUCUGUCAGUUACGUUGGUCAUAUGCUUUUGUCUGGGGAGGAGAGUAACGACGCCUUCACGAUAAAGACUGUGGUUGCUGGAACAGCCUGACUUCAAAAGCUAACUUCCUUGACUCUGCAGUUGUUUGAUUCCCUUCUAGAUGAAUGGGAAUGGAAGAGGAGCAAGUCUUGUUGGGGCCUCAUAAGGAGGCCCUGGGAAGAUGGGCCUGGCUUUCAUGGUUCAUGCCCAGAACAGCUUCUGUCCCCAGGGAAGCGACGGGAAGAGUCCCCAUGAGGCAUGCAGGCAGCGUCAUCAGCAACAGACCCAAGCCCUUGACCACCCAUGCUGUCACUGCGUGUCCUGCCUGGACUCCGGCCCUUUGAGGCUCAUCCCUCGGGGUGAGCUCUCUAAAGCCUGGAAGUUAGCGGUCUGGGGCUCAAAAUUCUCAGGUCACACCAGAGGCGGAGCACCAGGAGCAUAACCUCCGCCCCCACCUUCCCAAGACUUGCAGGAAAGAGGAGUCAGCUUUCAGCCCCAGUGCCCCUCUGUCUGGACAGAGGCACCCAUGAGUGCCUGGCCGUCCCUAGACACUGGUGGCCGGUCUCGCAAACUGUGUGGGGAGCUGCUUCUUUCUGCCAAGAGAAGAAUGAACUCUGUUCCUUCCUGCGCUCGAGGAAUUCCAUCCCCCUAGAUUAUUUGUGUCAACCACUUGAGUAGAAGACGAAUUUCAGAGCUGGGAGAAUUUGUUUGUAUUUUCACGAUUUAUAAUGCUCUUUUUGUCAGCCCAAUUUGCCUAUAACAAAAGGAUGGCCUAACAUUCAAUUAUGGAGCAAAGAAACACAAAAAGCAAACUAAGGCUUUGCAACAUCAAAGUGCAUAUUAUCUUCGGCAAAAUGUAAAGAGAUGUAGGAAAAAAGGCUGAUCGGAAGGUUCUGUUAAUAAUGGGCUUGUCAGCAGAUUCCGGAGGCCCCUUUCGGAGCUGAAGUUCUCAAGACUUAGAUUCUUUAGUACAGAAAUGCUUCCUCUUUGCUGUCUUGUCUCCCUGAAUGUAUUCCUGCUGGGGGCUUCUAGGUUGUUUGUCUUCUUGUCUUUAUUCCUCAGAAGAAUAACCUGGCCAUUUAUUGACCGACUGACCUAUAGAUUCAAUAGUUUUCCCUCCUUAAGUACUUCAGAUACAUUUUCUCACUCAACAUUCUUUGCCAUCCUGUUAGGACAUACUAUUGCUCUCAUGUGACAGAUGAAGAAACCGAGUCCUAGUGAGAUGGAGUAACUUGACUGAUGUCACACAGCUCAUGAGUGGGUGGCCAAGCCAGGGUUGGGACUGAAAUCUUCCUGACUCCAGAAUCUUAAUGAGUUUGUGUAACCGGCUCCCUUCCCUGAUCCACUUUCCUCAAUUACUUCUAUUCUCCUCCUUCUCUUCCCUCAAGACAUUCCAGGGUCUCUCCUUUUUUUUUUUUUAAAGAUUUCAUUUAUUUAUUUAACAGAGAGAGAGAGACAGCGAGAGAGGGAACACAAGCAGGGGGAGUGGGAGAGGGAGAAGCAGGCAUCCUGCUGAGCAGGGAGCCUGAUGCGGGGCUCGAUCCUAGGACCCUGGGAUCAUGACCUGAGCCGAAGGCAGACGCUUAAUGACUGAGCCACCCAGGAGCCCCAAGAUUUUAUUUUUAAGCAAUCUGUACACUCAACAAUGUGGGGCUCAAACUCACAACCCUGAGAUCAAGAGUAGUGCGCUCCACCAAUUGAGCCAGCCAGAUGCUCUCAUUCCAGGGUCUCUACGAUCUCCAGGGAGGUGGUCUUGGUCUGGGUUUGAAGAAGAGCUUCCGGGAAUCAGUGAAGCCCCUGAGACUGCACGCAGCUUUCCUGCGUAGGUAUUAGUGCGCAUGCUUCUGGGAAGCGGUGCCGUUGCUUUCAUUAUAUUCCCAAAUGAGUACGAGACCCUAAGUGCGUGAGGCAAUUGGCUCAUUCCAAGGAGCUCUAGCUUCAGGUUCUAGGACAGAGGUUCCCAACCGUCAGUGAACAUCGGUCUCACGCAGGGAGCUUGUCAAAGUGCAAAUGCAUUUGGUACAUCUGGACUCAACAGACCAGGAAUCUACAGUUUUGCAAGCACCCCUUCUGGGGGAUGAGUUACUCUGUAGUACCCACUCAGUUUCCUGGUGACCUUAGAUCCUGUAGUUACCCCCACAACUUUAUUCUAGUAAUUCCUUUGAAAGGGAUCCAGGCAUUUUCCACUCCUCCCACAAAAAAUGUCCAUGAAUGUCAGAGUUGUGCUCCCUAGAAAAAAAGAGGUCCAGAGAAUCAGGACAAAUCAAAAGGAAUUUCAACAAAUUCUCCGUAAUGGAAAUACUCAUAUUGUUGGACACUGCAGGACUGAUGCCAUCAAGACACUACCUACUCGAUAUUAAUCUUUACUCCGCCUCCAGCUGCGGUUUUCUAAGACUGUCAUUGUCUCCUUUCCACGCUUCAUGGACACAAUUAUGAUGACUGGAGUUUAAAACACUGAAUGUAGCUCUUGGCCUUUCUUCGGAAGUCCCUUGGAAAGGCCAGUGAUUCUCUACCCAGAUGCUUCAUAAGGGAGCCUUCGUGGUGAGUUCACAGAGGUCCAGGAGGGGACCUCAACUUUGCAGAUUCCUAAACUUUCAUGGCAGGUGGGUCAGUUUGUCUGCUCUGCCCACACCUGUCCUAACCAUUUGUGUCUUCUUUCAAUGCCCCAAGAGGAACUGGUGGUAUAUGAAACUCCAUGACCCUCGUCAUUGCAUUUUGGACCAGGCAUACCUAGAGUGGCCACCUGACUUGUGCUAGGUUAACUAAAUUGUUGCCUUCAGGAUUUUGGAGUGUGUGUGGGGGUGCUCAGAGAUGCUAAACUUUCUGGAAGUGGGAAGUUAUGUGAAUUCAGGUCUGAGGUAGCUGUGUUUGGUUUAAUAAGCUAAUGGAACAGAAAAGGUCUAUUAGGGAGUAGGAUUGGGAGAAAGAGAGAAGUUGCCCGUUUCCAUCCUCUAUAAGGCCCACUUGUGCUUCCUGUUGUGUUUCCUUGGUUUUAUGAAACACCUCUGUUAUCUUUCAAUAAAUUCCUCUUUUUUGCUAAGUCUGAGUGAAUUUUGCUUCUUCC
rnacentral:lncRNA from 1 species